GACGAACGCUGGCGGCGUGCCUAAUACAUGCAAGUAGAACGCAGUUGCGAACGGGUGAGUACCGCGUAGGUAACUGCCUCAUAGCGGGGGAUAACUAUUGGAAACGAUAGCUAAUACCGCAUACUGUGAGCUGGACCUGCGUUGUAUUAGCUAGUUGGUGAGGUAAAGGGUCACCAAGGGGUCGAAACAUAGCCGACCUGAGAGGGUGGACGGCCACACUGGGACUGGGGAACGGCCCAGACUCCUACGGGAGGCAGGAGUAGGGAAUCUUCGGCAAUGGAGGGAAAGCUGACCGAGCAAAGGCGCGUGAGUGAAGAAAGUUUUCGGAUCGUAAAGCUCUGUUGUGAGGGAAGCGGUAACUAAAGAGAAAGGGACGGCUAACUACGUGCCAGCAGCCGCGGUAAUAC
rnacentral:rRNA from 1 species